AGCGAACGUUAGCGGCGGGCUUAACACAUGCAAGUCGAGCGGUAAGGCCCUUUCGGGGGUACACGAGCGGCGAACGGGUGAGUAACACGUGGGUGACCUGCCCUUAGCUCUGGGAUAAGCCUGGGAAACUGGGUCUAAUACCGGAUAUGACUCCAUGACGCAUGUUGUGGGGUGGAAAGCCUUGUGCGGCUGGGGAUGGGCCCGCGGCCUAUCAGCUUGUUGGUGGGGUGAUGGCCUACCAAGGCGA
rnacentral:rRNA from 1 species